AAGAAUGCAAUUUAAUUUUUUUUAGCGUUAGUAUAUUGUAAAUUAUAAAAAUUGAAUGUAGAAGUUUUUAGGUGAAAUUUUAAUUUUUGCUUUAAUUUUUUGGUUUUUGAUUAUUUAAUAAAUUUUUGAAUAAACUAGGAUUAGAUACCCUAUUAUUUUAAAUGUAAAAUUUAGCUAGAUUAGUAACAGUUAAAGUCUUGAAAAUUAAAAAAUUUGGCGGUUUUUUAGUCUAUUCAGAGGAACCUGUUCUAUAAUCGAUAGUCCACGAUUUUAUGUACUUUUUUUAUUAGUUUGUAUAUCGUCGUAGUUUGAAUGUUUUGAGAGAAUUUUAAUAUUCAAUAAUUAUUUUUUAAUUGAAUUCAGAUCAAGGUAUAGCUUAUAAGGAAGCAGAAAUGGGUUACAUUUAUUUUAAUUAGCGAUUGUUGAAUUGAAAAUUUAGAUGAAUUUGGAUUUGAAAGUAAUUUUAUUAAAAAUUUUUAAAAUGAUUUGAGCUCUAAAAUAUGUACAUAUCGCCCGUCGCUUUCACCUUAAAGUGAAAUAAGUCGUAACAAAGUAGGUUUACUGGAAAGUGUACCUAGAAUGGUCAAGUUAGAGCUUGGUGUAAGCAUUUUAUUUACAUUAAAAUGAUAACUGUUAAAUUCAGUUUAACUUGAAAGAAUUGAAGGGGAUUACUAAAUAAUUUAAUUUUUUAGGGGUAAAAAAAUAAAUUUUUAUUUUAGUAAUAAAAUGAGAAAAUUAGGGGAGUUAUAGUUAAUUAGUAUUGCAAAAGAAUUCUUUUUUAGGGGUAAAAGAAGAAUUUUGUAU
rnacentral:rRNA from 1 species